rnacentral:rRNA from 1 species
CAAUAGCGUAUAUUAAAGUUGUUGCGGUUAAAAAGCUCGUAGUUGGAUUUCUGUCCGAGGCAGCCGGUCUGCUCUAGUAGCAUGUAUCUGGUUUGGCUAGGGCAUCCUCUUGGGGAACGUUUCUGUGCUUGAUUGCAUGGGGCGGAAUUCAAGACUUUUACUUUGAGGAAAUUAGAGUGUUCACGGCAAGCUAUCGCUUUGAAUACAUUAGCAUGGAAUAAUAAUAUAGGGCGUGAGUUCUAUUUUGUUGGUUUCUAGGACAUACGCAAUGAUUAAUAGGGACAAUUGGGGGCGAUUCGUAUUAACGCGUCAGAGGUGGAAUUCUUAGAUUGCGUUACGACGAACUACUGCGAAAGCAUUUGCCAAGGAUGUUUUCAUUGAUCAAGAACGAAAGUAUGGGAUCGAAGACGAUCAGAUACCAU